GGGAAAAGGCGGGAAAAGGGGCGGGGCCAGAUGGGUCACGUGGUGGGGAGGGAGGAAUGGAGGAGGAGAAAUGGAGGAGAGGGAGGAGAGAGGGAGGAGAGAAAUGGAGAGGGAGAGAGAAAUGGGGAGGGAGAGAGAAAUGGGGAGGGAGAGAGAGAUGGAGAGGGAGAGGAGGGGAAAGGAAAUAGGGAGAGGGAGAUGGAGACAGAAAUGGAGAGGGAGAGGAAAGGGAGGGAGAGAAAUGGAGAGGGAGAGGAGGGGAAAGGAAAUAGGGAGAGGGAGACGGAGACAGAGAAAUGGAGAGGGAGAGAGAAAUGGAGAGGGAGAGAGAGAUGGAGAGGGAGAGGAGGGGAAAGGAAAUGGGGAGAGGGAGAUGGAGACAGAGAAAUGGAGAGGGAGAUGGGGAGAUGGAGGAGGAGAGGGAGGGAGAUGGAGAGAGGGAGAGAGAAAUGGAGAGGGAAAGACGAGGGAGAGAAAUGGGGGAGAUGGCGAAGGAGAUGGAGAUGGGGAGAGGGAGAGAAAGGAGGGAAAUGGAGACGGGGAGAUGGAGAUGGAGGGAGAGAGAGGGAGAGGGAGAGAGAAAUGGCGGGGGAGAUGGAGAUGGGGAGGAGAGUGUGAGGGAGAUGGGGAGGGAGAGAGAGAAAUGGCGGGGAGAUGGAGACGGGGAGAGGGAGAGAAAGGAGGGGAAUGGAGACGGGGAGAGGGAGAGGGAGAUGGAGGAGGAGAGAGGAAGGGAGAUGGGGAGAGAAAUGGAGAGGGAGAGGAAAGAGGGAGGUAAAUGGAGAGGGAGAUGGGGAGGGAGAGGAGGGGAAAGGAAAUGGGGAGAGGGAGAUGGAGAGAGGAAAAUGGAGAGAAAUGGAGAGGGAGAUGGAGGAGAGAGUGAGGGAGAUGGAGACAGGGAGAGAAAGGAGGGAAAUGGAGAUGGGGAAAGAGAGGGAGAUGGAGGAGGAGAGAGUGAGGGAGAGAAAUGGAGAGGGAGAGAAAGGAGGGGAAAGGAAAUGGGGAGAGGGAGAUGGAGAGAGAGAAAUGGAGGGGGAGAUGGAGGGGGAGGGAGAUGGAGAGGGAGACAGGAGAGGGAGAUGGGGAGAUGGAGGGUAAUUAAUGAGGAGGUUAAUUAACAAGGAGGGUAAUGAGGAGGGUAAUUAAGGAGGAGGUUAAUUAACAAGGAGGGUAAUGAGGAGGUUAAUGAGGAUAAUUAAUGAGGAGGGUAAUUAACAAGGAGGGUAAUGAGGAGGUGAAUUAACGAGGAGGUUAAUUAACAAGGAGGUUAAUGAGGAGGUUAAUGAAUGAGAGGUGAAUUAAUGAAGAGGGUAAUGAGGAUAAUUAACGAGGAGGUUAAUUAACAAGGAGGGUAAUGAGGAGGUGAAUUAACGAGGAGGGUAAUUAAUGAGGAGUCUAAUUAACAAGGAGGGUAAUGAGGAGGCUCAUUAAUGACGAGGUUACCGCCGCCGUUACCUAACGAGCAGUCCAGCUAAUUACCGUUUAAUUAGGCACCAGAGCACGCCCCGCUGCGUUUCCAACCUUUUAUUAAAAAACAACCCCCGAAGCCCCGCCCCCGGCCCCGCCCCACGACACAGACACUUUACAUAUUUAUAAAUAUUCAUCAGGGGGCGGGGCUACUCCGAGUCCGAGGCGGGCGCCAGCAUGGGGUCGGCCAGCAGGGGGCAGCAAGCACUUCCGGUCUGCCCCGCCGCCUCUUCCGGCGCCGGCCGGAAGUGAGGGGGCGUGGCCAGCGCCGCCGGGGCCACGCCCCCCAUGAGCGCCGCCAUCUUGGAGAGGUCCAGGGCUGGGGGCGGGGCGGGCAGGCACUGGGGGGAAAGUAAUUAGAGCCGGGA
ensembl:lncRNA